UACGGAGGGUGCAAGCGUUAAUCGGAAUUACUGGGCGUAAAGCGCACGCAGGCGGUUUGUUAAGUCGGAUGUGAAAUCCCCGGGCUCAACCUGGGAACUGCAUUCGAUACUGGUUGGCUAGAGUAUGGGAGAGGAUGGUAGAAUUCCAGGUGUAGCGGUGAAAUGCGUAGAGAUCUGGAGGAAUACCGGUGGCGAAGGCGGCCCCCUGGACGAAGACUGACGCUCAGGUGCGAAAGCGUGGGGAGCAAACAGG
rnacentral:rRNA from 1 species